UACGGAGGAUGCGAGCGUUAUCCGGAUUUAUUGGGUUUAAAGGGUGCGUAGGCGGGCUUUUAAGUCAGCGGUAAAAAUUCGGGGCUCAACCCUGUCCGGCCGUUGAAACUGGGGGUCUUGAGUGGGCGAGAAGAAGGCGGAAUGCGUGGUGUAGCGGUGAAAUGCAUAGAUAUCACGCAGAACCCCGAUUGCGAAGGCAGCCUUCCGGCGCCCUACUGACGCUGAGGCACGAAAGUGCGGGGAUCGAACAGG
rnacentral:rRNA from 1 species